GGGAAAAUUCGGCCAAAUCCAAAGGGUGGAUUUUUGGGUUCUUGUUUGACUUGUUAAAAGUGUUUUAAAGUGUUUUUUGGAACCCCUAUGUACCCUAGUUUGGUUAUAUGUUAUUUCCCUAAAGUUUAAAUGGUUUUGGGAUGUUUUUGGAUGAAAAAUGUUCAUGGAAAUUUUUUGGGUUUUUCAUGAAUGUUCUUCAUUGUUCUUGACAUUUUUGCCAAGAACAAAAGGUUUGAUGUUUUGAUUCAAAGUUUUGAUUUAUUUCAUAAAGUUUUUGUUUUAUGAUUUAUCAAAUAUUUAAAUGUGUUAGAUAUUUAUUUGAAAGGUGAUUGAAAUUGUGUAAGGUGAUAGAAAUGUUGAUGGAUGUGUAAGAAGUACUUCUCUUACACACACACCAACUUAUUUCCACUUGCAUGGUUCCACUUGCAAGGCUUUAUGAAUUUGUUGAAAAAUUUCCAAAUUUUUGUGGACUUAUCUCCACUUUAUUUUCUCCCUAAAACCGGCCACCCUAUUAAAAUAGGGUAUUUUUUGGGCUUUUAUGCAAUUACAUAAAGUUUUGAUAUUUUUGUGUAUUUGUAUUUUGACCCGAAAGUUUACGUUUUGACGUUAAGGCCUAAAAACGCUAAAGGACAAAUUGUUUUGUUCCUUUAAUGAAGUUUUGAAUUUAUUGACAUUUUUGGGUUCUAGUUGUAAUUACAUGAAGUAGUGGACUUUUGUGUUUUUACAAAGUGACCCCAAAAGUUUGUGUUUUCGCGAUAUAGCCCAAAGGUUGUGGUUAUUGCAUGAUGGCCCAAAUUAGGUUGAGAACAAAAUUGUUUUGUCUCUUUAAAUGAGAAUUGGAUUUUCAUUUUAUUUAGCU
rnacentral:lncRNA from 1 species